UACGUAGGGUGCAAGCGUUGUCCGGAAUUAUUGGGCGUAAAGCGCGCGCAGGCGGUUUUUUAAGUCUGGUGUUUAAGCCCGGGGCUCAACCCCGGUUCGCACCGGAAACUGGAAGACUUGAGUGCAGGAGAGGAAAGCGGAAUUCCACGUGUAGCGGUGAAAUGCGUAGAGAUGUGGAGGAACACCAGUGGCGAAGGCGGCUUUCUGGACUGUAACUGACGCUGAGGCGCGAAAGCGUGGGGAGCAAACAGG
rnacentral:rRNA from 1 species